rnacentral:rRNA from 1 species
AUACGUAGGGUGCGAGCGUUAAUCGGAAUUACUGGGCGUAAAGCGUGCGCAGGCGGUUUUGUAAGUCAGAUGUGAAAUCCCCGGGCUUAACCUGGGAACUGCGUUUGAAACUGCAAGGCUAGAGUGUGGCAGAGGGGGGUGGAAUUCCGCGUGUAGCAGUGAAAUGCGUAGAGAUGUGGAGGAACACCGAUGGCGAAGGCAGCCCCCUGGGUCAACACUGACGCUCAGGCACGAAAGCAUGGGGAGCAAACAGGAUUAGAAACCCCAGUAGUCC